GAUCCUGGCUCAGAUUGAACGCUGGCGGCAUGCUUUACACAUGCAAGUCGAACGGUAACAGGUUAAGCUGACGAGUGGCGAACGGGUGAGUAAUGCAUCGGAACGUGCCCAGUCGUGGGGGAUAACGCAGCGAAAGCUGUGCUAAUACCGCAUACGAUCUAUGGAUGAAAGCGGGGGACCGUAAGGCCUCGCGCGAUUGGAGCGGCCGAUGUCAGAUUAGCUAGUUGGUGGGGUAAAGGCUCACCAAGCCAACGAUCUGUAGCUGGUCUGAGAGGACGACCAGCCACACUGGAACUGAGACACGGUCCAGACUCCUACGGGAGGCAGCAGUGGGGAAUUUUGGACAAUGGACGCAAGUCUGAUCCAGCCAUUCCGCGUGCAGGAUGAAGGCCCUCGGGUUGUAAACUGCUUUUGUACGGAACGAAAAGGUUUCUAUUAAUACUAGGAGCUCAUGACGGUACCGUAAGAAUAAGCACCGGCUAACUACGUG
rnacentral:rRNA from 1 species